rnacentral:lncRNA from 1 species
UUUUAUGUAUACUUCUUAAUAUUUGUCCGACCGUAUGAGUAUUUUGAAAAAGUACGCAUACGGCCCAAACUACAAUUGCAACUGUACAGGUUUUUUUUUAUGUUUUUAAUAAGUUGUGCUGUUACACCAGUGUCCCAGGUUAAGGAGAGGGUUGGGGGCUCACAUGAUUAAUCCCGCCGCAUUUUUUUCGUGUCGGUCCUACGUCAUGGGCCUGUAUAACAUAGAUUAUAUAGAUCUGUCAUAUUUUUUUCUUCUUUGAUAAAUAAUCCAUAAGUUAUAAAUAAAUAACCGUUAGUUUUCUCGUUUUUAUUUUUUUCACAUUUUUUUUUAUAUUGGUGUCUUUUAUAGCCGACUAUAUGGUAUAGGUUUUCCUCAUUGUUAAUUGUUGUACAUUGGACUAUAAUAAUUGCUUUAUUCACACACUUCAUUUAAACUUUGGUGGGAAGUUGUAUCACUGGCUAUCACAC